GCGGGAGUGGCGGAACUGGUAGACGCGCUGGAUUUAAACCCCGGUGCCGCAAGGCGUGGGGGUUCGAAUCCCUCCUCCCGCACCA
rnacentral:tRNA from 1 species